UACGUAGGGUGCAAGCGUUGUCCGGAAUUAUUGGGCGUAAAGAGCUCGUAGGCGGUUUUGUUGCGUCGGCUGUGAAAUCCCGAGGCUCAACCUCGGGUCUGCAGUCGAUACGAGCAAACUAGAGUGUUGCAGGGGAGACUGGAAUUCCUGGUGUAGCGGUGAAAUGCGUAGAUAUCUGGAGGAACACCGGUGGCGAAGGCGGCAUCCUGGACCGAGAUUGACGCUGAUGCGCGAAAGCCAGGGGAGCAAACGGG
rnacentral:rRNA from 1 species